GGUGGGUCCUGUGAUUGGAAAGCCCAUCUGAAUCAGAUAAAAGCAGAUCCCAGCGCUGUUAUCAGGAGAAAGCAGAGAGCUUCUAAAGUAGGGGGAAAAGUUUUGUAGAAAUCGUCCCCACUUUACUGCAAGUAACGUGUAAGUAAAUGCACUUGUAAAAAGCCAAAUAGGGAAGAACAUAGAAUAAUAAAUUAUUCUUCACUCUGCUCUCAUCCUCAGAGAUUACGGACCCAUCUAUAUGCUGCCUAGAAGAGACUUACUUCAGAACUGAUGACACAUACAAGAGUGGAGAGAAGGGAAAAGAUCUUCUGUGCUGUGGUAGCACCACGUUUAUGCCAUUGUGUUCAGAGAAGAUACUUGGUAUCAUUCCAGUCUUCCUGAAUGUGCUAAGACUUGUUUUGUGGCCAAACAGGUGGUCUGUUCUCUAAAUGUUCCAUGUGAGCUUGAGAACAAUGUGUAUUCUGUUUUUGUCAGAGGAAUGUUCUGUAUGUGUUUUAGGUCCAUUUGGUUUAUACUGUUGAAAUCCACUGUUUGCUUAUUGAUUCUCAGAAUUACAGAGAAAUUGCUAAGAGUGGGGUAUUGCUGUUUUGCUGCUUUUAGUUCCGUUGGUUUUUGCUGGAUACAUUUAGGCGCCUCUCUGUUGGGUGCAUACAUAUUUACAAGGUUGUAUCUUCUUGACAGACUGAGCCCUGUAUCAGUGUAUAUAAUGGUCUUCUUAGUUUCUUUACUAUUUGUAGCUUAUUUUGUCUGAUUAAAGUGUGGCUACCUUG